rnacentral:rRNA from 1 species
GGGCAUUGCGGCGUGCUAUACAUGCAGUCGAACGAGUUCUCGUUGAUGAUCGGUGCUUGCACCGAGAUUCAACAUGGAACGAGUGGCGGACGGGUGAGUAACACGUGGGUAACCUGCCCUUAAGUGGGGGAUAACAUUUGGAAACAGAUGCUAAUACCGCAUAGAUCCAAGAACCGCAUGGUUCUUGGCUGAAAGAUGGCGUAAGCUAUCGCUUUUGGAUGGACCCGCGGCGUAUUAGCUAGUUGGUGAGGUAAUGGCUCACCAAGGCGAUGAUACGUAGCCGAACUGAGAGGUUGAUCGGCCACAUUGGGACUGAGACACGGCCCAAACUCCUACGGGAGGCAGCAGUAGGGAAUCUUCCACAAUGGACGCAAGUCUGAUGGAGCAACGCCGCGUGAGUGAAGAAGGCUUUCGGGUCGUAAAACUCUGUUGUUGGAGAAGAAUGGUCGGCAGAGUAACUGUUGUCGGCGUGACGGUAUCCAACCAGAAAGCCACGGCUAACUACGUGCCAGCAGCCGCGGUAAUACGUAGGUGGCAAGCGUUAUCCGGAUUUAUUGGGCGUAAAGCGAGCGCAGGCGGUUUUUUAAGUCUGAUGUGAAAGCCCUCGGCUUAACCGAGGAAGCGCAUCGGAAACUGGGAAACUUGAGUGCAGAAGAGGACAGUGGAACUCCAUGUGUAGCGGUGAAAUGCGUAGAUAUAUGGAAGAACACCAGUGGCGAAGGCGGCUGUCUGGUCUGUAACUGACGCUGAGGCUCGAAAGCAUGGGUAGCGAACAGGAUUAGAUACCCUGGUAGUCCAUGCCGUAAACGAUGAAUGCUAGGUGUUGGAGGGUUUCCGCCCUUCAGUGCCGCAGCUAACGCAUUAAGCAUUCCGCCUGGGGAGUACGACCGCAAGGUUGAAACUCAAAGGAAUUGACGGGGGCCCGCACAAGCGGUGGAGCAUGUGGUUUAAUUCGAAGCAACGCGAAGAACCUUACCAGGUCUUGACAUCUUUUGAUCACCUGAGAGAUCAGGUUUCCCCUUCGGGGGCAAAAUGACAGGUGGUGCAUGGUUGU